CAGAGGGCGCGAGCGUUGUCCGGAAUCACUGGGCGUAAAGGGCGCGUAGGUGGCCACCAUAAGGCCGCGGUGAAAGUUCGGGGCUCAACCCCGGAUCGGCCGCGGCGACUGUGGGGCUCGGGUACUGUAGAGGCAGGUGGAAUUCCGGGUGUAGCGGUGGAAUGCGUAGAGAUCCGGAAGAACACCAGUGGCGAAGGCGGCCUGCUGGGCAGUGGGAUCGAAAGGUCCCUUGAACCGACACUGAGGCGCGACAGCGUGGGGAGCAAACAGGAUUAGAUACCCUGGUAGUCCACGCCGUAAACGAUGGGCACUAGGUGCUCCGGGGAGCGACCCUUGGAGUACCGGCGCUAACGCAUGAAGUGCCCCGCCUGGGGAGUACGGCCGCAAGGCUG
rnacentral:rRNA from 1 species